AGUGAACGCUGGCGGUAGGCCUAACACAUGCAAGUCGAACGGCAGCACAGUAAGAGCUUGCUCUUACGGGUGGCGGGUGGCGGACGGGUGAGGAAUACAUCGGACUCUACUUUUUCGUGGGGGAUAACGUAGGGAAACUUACGCUAAUACCGCAUACGACCUACGGGUGAAAGCAGGGGAUAUUCGGACCUUGCGCGAUUGAAUGAGCCGAUGUCGGAUUAGCUAGUUGGCGGGGUAAAGGCCCACCCAGGCGACGAUCCGUAGCUGGUCUGAGAGGCUGAUCGGCCACCCUGGAACUGAGACACGGUCCAUACUCCUACGGGAGGCAGCAGUGGGGAAUAUUGGACAACGGGCGCAAGCCUGAUCCAGCCAUACCGCGUGGGUGAAGAAGGCCUUCGGGGUGUAAAGCCCUUUUGUGGGGAAAGAAAAGCAGCAGGUUAAUACCCCGCUGUUCUGACGGUACCCAAUGAAUAAGCACCGGCUAACUUCGUG
rnacentral:rRNA from 1 species